UGGGGAAUCUUCCGCAAUGGACGAAAGUCUGACGGAGCAACGCCGCGUGAGUGAAGAAGGUUUUCGGAUCGUAAAACUCUGUCUUUUGGGGCGAACGUGAGUAUGGUGAACAAUCAUAGUCAGUGACGGUACCAAAGGAGGAAGCCACGGCUAACUACGUGCCAGCAGCCGCGGUAAUACGUAGGUGGCAAGCGUUGUCCGGAAUUAUUGGGCGUAAAGAGCGCGUAGGCGGGAUAGUCAGUCUGUUGUAAAAGUGCGGGGCUCAACCCCGUGAUGGCAAUGGAAACAGCUAUUCUUGAGUGCAGGAGAGGAAAGUGGAAUUCCCAGUGUAGCGGUGAAAUGCGUAGAUAUUGGGAGGAACACCAGUGGCGAAGGCGACUUUCUGGACUGUGUCUGACGCUGAGGCGCGAAAGCCAGGGGGAGCGAACGGGGAUUAGAUACCCCCGGUAGUCCUGGCCGUAAACGAUGGGUACUAGGUGUGGGGGGUAUCGACCCCUUCCGUGCCGGAGUUAACGCAAUAAGUACCCCGCCUGGGGAGUACGGUCGCAAGACUGAAACUCAAAUGAAUU
rnacentral:rRNA from 1 species